GUCAUUGAAGACCACCCCGAGG
rnacentral:miRNA from 1 species